CUCUCAAGUUUAGAUAUAACAGUUAUAAUUUAAAGCUUGCUCUAGACCUAAACUUGUGGGAUGAAAACUUGAUCUGAAGUCUAAGUUGUUAACGGAUAAGAUAUGGGAAGGCUGAGCUGCUGUUUAUCUGUUCCUAGAGAUGCUAGAAUUCUGGAGAAUUUUAUCUUGAAAAUCUUUAAAAUGUUGCAUGAUGAGUUCCUGUAUGAUGAGAGUUUAAAUUCCUACCACAGCCAUAUAUACAUGCUUGCUAGACUUUGAGCCACACAUUUACUAUUUACUGCUUAUGAGCAUUGAGUGUGGUCAAGCUGUGUAGACCCUUAGGAGCUUGUCAUGUGGUUAAAUCAAGAUUUCACUUGCACGUUCACUCAUAUAUGCUACUUCUACUCCGGAAGUACCAUCCACAUAUAUCCACCCAUUCCAUCUCCAGAACCACCUAAAAAUAUUCUACUCCUAAUCCGGGAGAGAAUAACCAAAAAUAUUUCUGUUUUCCCCUUGUGAAAUAAAUGCUCAAGUUAUCUUGUUACUACCACUUGCUAUAUUAUCUCAAGAGAUGAGUGCUCUAAAAAAAAGAGAGAGAGAGAAAAUAAUACGAGGAAAUAAAAAGGAGCAAGUGCUCGGAACCUCGAAAAGAAAAAAAAGUGAGACGAGAGGUAAAAAUGGACAAGUGUCCGACAGUAGAAUUAGGGGUGCAAGAUACCCACCUGAGAGACAAGAAAAAGAAGAGCAUCUCAUUCUCAUCAUAAAGUUUCAAAAGCAAGGAAGGUAUGUAUCCCCUCAAAAGAGCAAAAGUAGUAUUAGACUUCCACCACCAUUGUUUUCACCAUUGUUAUCACCAUCAUCACCAUAUACCAUUCAUUCGCCACACAUGCACAUCUUGAUUAAACUUAUUGACUUGUUAUUUUGGAUCCAUGGUUUGACUAUGCAAUAAAUGUCUUGUAAGUAUGUAUACUUUAUCUCCCACCUAUGAGCUCCAGAUAUUAAAGCCUUAGUAGAGUAGGGUGAGAGAGAAGGCAAUAUCACUAUGCCUCAUACCACAAAUACCACAUAUCUUGAGAGAAGGCAUAUACCAUCAAUGCCUUGGUAAGGAUCCAAAAAUACCACAAAAGAGAGACCUGAGAGAAUCAUACAAGGAAUCUCUGAGUUUUAUUUGAAAAUCUGCAAAAAUCCCAGAGCUAUAGCUGAUCAAGAAUAAGAGACAUGGCACUUGGCUAGACUGUUCUAUCUUUUAACCACUCAAGACAGAAGUGACAGUAACAAGUCCCAUGGUGGAGGUAAAGUAAGUAAGUUUUAAGUCUUGACAGUUUACUCUAACUUAGAGAUGAGAUCUUAUUUAAAAGCAUGUGUACCGUCAAAUUUUUAAAGAUAUUGCGACUACUUCUGAUCCAUAGCUGAGUCUAUCCUUGCUCAGGGACGAGCAAGAGGUAAGCUUGGGGGAGUUUGUUGACGGUCCUUAAGUAUCAAAUUUAAUUAUCAAAUAAAUAAAGAAAAGGAUCCAAAUGAAAUCAAGAUCUAGACUUAGGGUUUUAUGUGACAGAAUUCCACGAGUUUUGGUGUUUGUCUAUUUCUGCAGGGGGUUAUCAGGAAAUACGGAAGAAAGGCCCACAUGUCAGGAUUACGUAAAGGUAUUAACGUGCUGCGCAAUUAUCUUACAUCUAGAAGACUCCAGAAGCCACGGGACCGAAGCGGAGGCGAAACGGGGCCAGACCCUGGGCGGCCGCCCAGUUGGUCAGGGUGCCCGCCCACCUCCUGAGUCCAAUCAGGACUCUGCUUUGCGGGAGAUCUCCACCGACCUAAAGGAUGAAUCUAAACCAUACAAUCUAUGUCGGUUUGAUCCAAGGGCCCAUAUUCACUUGGAGGGACUAUAAAACCAGACCCCCUGGCCCCUGGAGGAGAGAGCCUCUCAACCCUAAUUCAUUGUUCCAUCAAGGGAGAAGAAGCCUCUGAUCAAGAUUAGAGCCACCACAUCAAUUAGACAUCUAGAUUAGCAUAGCUACAUAGGAUUAGAACUAGAAGGAGUCAAUCUUCGAUUGGUUUCCGGAUCUGUCAGGAGGAUUCUUGGUAAUCUUUUAAUUGUGCUUCUAAUUGCUUUCUAAUUAUCUUUGUUCUUCAAUAUUAUGAAUAUGACUUUGUUCUACUUCAAUAUAUUGCUUAUGACUUUGCUCUACUUGCUUAUAUUCAAGAUUAUAUUGUUCUUAGUUUAUCAUAGUUAUGUACUUGGCUUAGUUAGAUACGAUCUAUAUACAUGCUUAGGAUCGUAUAGCGUUUAUCCAUCGGAUCCAUGGGUAAAUGAUAGAUAUUGUGUAGGCAUGGUGCUUAUACCGUAUUUAUCUGCGAUUGUACCCAAUAUGCCAGAUCGUGGGGUGGUUCGUGAUAGUGACAGCUUCAUUGAUUCUUAUAUAGUCCCCCUCUCGUGUAUUGGGCUGGCAGAGCAACAUUAUUACAGGGGAGUGAUUGCUAUGUUUCUCAUAUUCCUUGCUAAUAUCACUAUGCAUGGGCGUAGUCUUGUCUCACAAUGAUUGCUAAGUAUGCUUGCACUAACUAUGAUAAUGCUAGACUAUAUAGUUAAGAAUAACUUAGGGAAUAUUCUUGUAGUUCGUUCUAAUACCAUGCUAAUGACUUUCUAGAGUAUCUAAUUGAGGUGCUUAUCAUAUUUAUUAUGUGGCUAGAUCAGAUUAGUUAUCCUUGUCACUAUUAUUAUUUCAUAUAUCUUUUAUGUGACAUUUAUCCCUGUAUAAUGAGUUAGAUAUAAUGUUCUCAAUUAUACAUGCAAUGAUAGAUGCUCAAUCUCAUAUUCUAUUCUGUAAUCAAUAGUGAUGAUUGCUAAUCCCUUCCCAGUGGUAAAAAUAUAAAUAACGAUACCUGGAAUACUUCCCGGUUAAAAUGCUACAUCGGUAUUAAUCUGUGCGCUUGCAGAUUCCAUUCAUUAUUUAUUUAGAAGAGCAAUUGCAUAUUUCAAUACCGCGUCUCUCAUAUCAUGCUGGGGAUGACAACUUGGCUUAAGUGGUGUGAGGUAUAGGUUUGGCAUUUUUGGCACCGUUGCUAGAUUUAGAACUUAGUCUACUUUUAGUAAUGAUGUUAAGAAUACCCAACAGUAACAUUCGCUGUGUUUAUGUUGAACUAUUACGAUCUUGGUUUGUUGCGAGUUGGUUUGAAGUCCUUCGUGAUUUCGAUUGACUACCGGGAUUAUAUGGGCUCAAGUUUAGAAACUUGAUUGCUUGGCGAUCGUUUCUGCACUUGAACUGUUAUAAUUUGGUCGGUUCUGUGACAAAGAUCAUCAUCUCAGUGCUGUUGACCGGUGUCUUGGUGGAGCCCAAAGGAUCUUGAGUCUCAGACUUAUCCUAUUUGUCUGCUGUCACCACAAUUGAUUUUAACUUGGGAAUAGGGAUCACCUGGUCCUCAGUAGGUGGCUGAAGCUAAAACCUGUCUUCAAAUGGUGCAUUGAUAGGUGCACCAAAGUUUACCUCAGAUAUUGGAACGUUACCGAGCCUUCUUACCUCAUCACCAUCUCCCUUGCUCUUGAUGCUGUUUGAGCCUCUAGCUGACGAAGCCACUGGGCUUGCACUGGAGUUUGUAGGCAGAACAGGCCCCUCCCAACGAGGAGCUACAGUGGGUAAGGGGUGCAAUGAACCAAUGGUGACAUAUCCUCCUCAUCAGGGAGGCUAUUGAUGCUAUUCCUCUUCUAGAUGUAGCAUGCCGACGUCCAAGACUUUCCAUUAGGGGGAAGUUCUGUGUUGAGCUUGAUGGUGGAAGGGAUCUUCAAGUCAUCAUUGAGAUAGACUUUGGCCACAACACACCCAGUCUGGGUGUCAUCCCAUACUAUCAGUAUCCCAAACUAUGAAACUACCUUUGCAACAUGCUAUGUGUUUCUCAGAUCUUUAGGGUAGUCCACUAGGGGAACCAUGGCUUCGCGAUCAACUGCAAGGGCUCUAGCAUUCUCUACUUCAUCAUGGCGGAUGAAGUGCAUGUUGUAGUUACCAAAAAUAAUGUUGGGGCCCAAAAAUCUAUCAUGCUCAAAGGGAUUACUAAAUUUGACAAAGGCAUGACCAAGGGGACAGGGUGAGAUCUCAAUACCAUGGACUUGAUGGAUAUCCCUAAAGAAGCUCUUGAGCUCCUUGAAGAGUCGGUGGAUGUUCUCCUUGUGCAUGGGCAGAGUGAGCUUUGCGAUCGCCAAGUCUUCAUUGCUCUUGAUGAAGCAGCCAAUGAUGAAGACUUCAUGGUGAAGGAGAGGUGAGGGCUGGUAUUCAUCUAGCACAAAGCCCUUAGGGAUGAAGGGCUUGGGAUCAACAGCGAAGCUCGCCAUCGGAGUCUUUGAGGGAAGCAUAGGAAUAGUAGAUUGGUGAGGCAGGUCGACGAAGGUUGGAGAAGCCAAACCUGGGGUGGGCGAUGGUCCACUCAUAUCCUUCUAUUGCUCCCCUUCGACUUCUUAUCAGUAACGGGCCAAAAAUUUGGGAUUUGGAUUUCGCUUUGGAGAGGCAAGAUAGUUGCGAGUGGCCGUACCAAAAACAAAGAGCGCAUCUCAGCUUGCCAUUGCAAUCUUUCCAGUCGUGCCCUAGGCCCAAGCAGCAUCCACGACUCAGUGGGCCGGUAGCAACCAAAUUACCCAUGUGAGACUGAGAGUGCUUUGGAAAAGCGACAGGAAUGGUGCCGUUAGUUUUGGGCUGGGCUUCCAAACAGGAGGAGGCCGACAAUUUAGCCUGGCUGGAUUUGAAUUUGAAAAAAACGGGUCACCCUUUGAUCUAGGAGGAGAAACGAACUUCCUAUCUAUGAUGAUGGUAGAAUCAACAAAAGCUUGAGCAUAAUUGCCCGGAAAAUGCAGAUGCCAGAACACCGACACUCUGGGAUUGGGAGGGGAUUUGACAAUUUCAUUGAAACUUUUAUUGCCUCUGGUGGAUUUGUUGGGUUUAUAGCAAAUCUUGGUCCAUUCAGACUCUUGUUCAUCUAACCAAAGGUUAUAUUCCAUGAGCCAAUUUGGUCCACCAUUUCUCCAAAGAAAAAAUAAAAUCUUAAAGGCAUUGCAAGAAAAGCUUUUCAAGUUCUUGAUCCAGAAUCCAACGUUUUUGCAGGAGACGGUAAAACAAACAAUCACCCAGAUAAAUGUUUAACGUUAAAAUCCUUGUUGGACCCCCCAAGCGAGAUUGAAGGAGAAGACCGACAGUAUCUUCACUGAGUCUGAUGGCAGAUCGCUCAAAACUUGCAACUAGUUUGAAAAAAGAUGGGGAUUGGGAUGAGACUGGGCUCACUGUGCAUCCAAAGCGCUCGAAAACCAUCCGGCCAAACUUGACUCUCGGUUCAAACACGAUGUCCGAGAAUCUAGCCAUGACCGCCAACUUCAGGCGAGGACGCCAUGGUGGAGGAAGACGUGGGGGAGCAAGCUAGGCAGGGGCUUGGAGGGUAACUUACUUAGAUAGACUUGCUCCUUACUACUUGUGUGAGGAGGAUAGUCAAGAAAAUAGGACCCUUGUUAAAGCGGCUAUAGUCUAAUUGGUGCCCUACCUUUUAAUAACAAGUUCGUAUGUGAGGAAAUCCUAAUGCCGAGCAUGACCUGUCACAUCCUACCAGUGUGCUCCUACUAUCUAUCGGAACCAGCGGCCUCUACUAGUAAAAUUAAGUAUGAGCACCACACUCACACUUACUCUCACAACCCUAGCUACUAUACAGGCAACUAGAGCUCCUAUGCAAGAUAGACGAUGAUCUACACACAAGGAGCUGGUACAGGUAAGCACUCCAACUAGGACAAUUAUACUACUAGGACAAUCACACAACAACACUAUAACAGGUACAAAAUUGUACUAAGUAAAUACUGAAAGUAAAUACUUAAAGAAGUAAAGGGAAGAAUAAAAUAAAGUAAAGUAAUACUAAAGAGAAAAGAUACAAGAGCAAUACCAGAGUCUCCUGAAGAUGACUCCGGAGACCCAAGGUUCGCUCGACUCGACUCGACCCAUCCUAAACUAACUACAACUAUACUUGAUCUCAUAACAGAAAGAAUUGAGCUUGAGGCUACAUUGGGGAUUGCUUGGGGAUGCUUCUCAAAGGUGGAGGUAGCCUCUAUUUAUAGAGGAAGGAGAGGGGGUGCCAUGUCAGUGAUCCACAUGCUCGAUCCUUUUCCACCCUUGGAUGAACCAACUUGGAAAUCGCCUUAGAUGGAUGGCCAAGGGAAUUUGGACAUGUGGGAGUCGUGCUUGAGGUCGGAUGGAGCAACUGGCUUAGUGGGGUCCAUAUGGAGGUCACCCGAUCCCCUCACUAGGCAGUGGGCCUAGCUUGAGCAUUCUAGAAGGAUCCCAAGGUUGGUUGCAUGAAGUAGCUUCUCAGGUCCCUUCACCUUGGGGUCAAUCAACCCCCACCUUGUGAGGUGGGCCCAACAGGUUCUUCUAGAAGGUGGCCCCACAUGUUGAUAAGAACCCGCUAGGGUUUUCGCCCAAUCUUUCGAUGAGAGGUGUUCGGUAACUCGACUGGUGAAAGGAGUUGAUGUUCACGGUCCGACUACAGCCCUCCAAGGCUACGCCUUAGCAACCGAUACACCACCUCCAAUGCUUGUCACGAUCUAGUGGAGCGCGACAACCAGCCAGUAGGGCACUCGCCCUGCAAGCAAUCGAAGAACUAACAAGAACAAGUAGAACAAGUACUGAAUUACUAGAUGUAAACAAAGGUUUGAAGCUCAAUCUCUAAUGAAGUGGGGUUCCGAAAACAAGAAGACGGGCGGCUCGAUCAGCACACACGUUUACAAGCAAGUAGCGAAGGCUAAACUUGAUCUAAUCAAAACCAAACUAUGUGGUGGCGGCUGUAGGGACCUCAAGUACCCUAAAGGAUGACCAAAGGAGGUCUAGGGUCAUGGUUUAACCCUAGGACACGUCCGUAAUAGACCCAACUUGAUACAUGGGCCAUCAGCCCAAAAUAUGGUGACGCAGCACCCUGGACAGCAAGACCUCUCAAUGGUAAUUGGAUCUUUGCUGCUGCUGCCGAACAGAUAUCGUCGUGGGACUGGACUCAUAUGAAAGUAGAUUUUAUAAGCUUUCGAACAAGUUCUGAAGCACCCCAAUCCAAAUCCGUAUGCAACCAUGGUGACGGUCACAAGUUGGUGCUUUGCUGCAGUCCGAAUCCAGCCAACGUGAGUCCUUGUCCCUUUCGGUCUUCUCCUUGGUUCCUAAUCAAAACAAAAGUGCACGUGUUUCCAGGGUCUAAACAAGAUGGACAAGAGCUUAAGAAGGAACUCACUUGAUGAUUAUGUUGACGAGCACGAGCAUGAGUAAGUGGAUCAGCAAUAGGUACUGGUGUCGGUGGCAUGGAUGCAUCGCCGUUGAUGUCCGCAUCACAUGUCAUGUGCAGUGGCUUGAUCAGUAACUUAGUAGUUGUCACGUUGCUUGCUUCCUUAUGGGCCCAUGGAUCCAUGUACAAUGAUCUUUUACCAUUAGAAGUUGAUCUGUGGGUCAACAUGCACACCGAAGACCUUGACAUGGAUUGUACUUCGAAGCUCAACUCUUGGUGGGUUCAUGAUGGCAUCACCCGACCUCCUCAUUGGGUGCAUUUUAUUGUUUCCUAAAAUCAAAGGCUAACAGUACAUGUGCAACCAGCUAUUGAUAAAAAAUGCUCAUGUUAUGCUAUUCUUCCAUGGAAUCGAGGUAUGUUGAUAGUGUUUUGAGUAUGAAUUUCUAGGGUAUAUGCACCGUCAACAAGAUCCCCAAGCUUAACAUUUGCUCAUCCCGAGCAAACAAUCAAACUUAGCCUUAGUGGAUCAGGUAAAGUUACUAGGCCUACAUUUCAAUAGUACCAUGUGCACAACAAAGUUUUUCUCCUUGAAAUGGAAAAAAUAGUAAUAGAAACACACCCUAUACCUCUCAAUAGUACCAAAAGUUCGACUAGAGUACUAACAUUCUUAUUCCUAGCAAGUUUCAUACCAAAGGUUUUGCAAUGUUUUUUAGAAGAAAACUUAAUGUUCAUCAUAUGGUUCUCUCAUGUCGCUCAAAUGGUAUAUGAUUCCUCACCAAGGAAAAUAAUAAAAGUUUCCUUCCUAAUUCUAACAUACUUCUAUGGAGGCAUAUGUGGAGCUCAAUGUAGGAAUAGAAGGAGAUGGCAUACUUACUUGCAUUAGUUGCGAAGCCAAAGCUUGGAUUCUUGAAGAGAAGUGUCAUACCUAUAGAUCAAGAUGUGCAAGUGUGUAACCUAUGGUGGACUAGGUUGCUUCUUUAUUUGAUAAGAUGUCUCUCUCUAUUUAUUACUAGGCCUACAUUUCAUACGUGUCCAUCUAUGAAUGCAAUUUUUCCUAGCCCAUUUAUAUGUCUCAUCAUCUAAACAAUAUUUAGAUAGAUACUUUAACACUUAAAGCAUGGAGCAACCUAUAUAUUUUGUGUGGAAAUGGAAUACAUAUUUUUGCAUACUUCCAAUGUAGAAGUAGCAUAUGCAUGUGGCGUGUGUGUGAUCUUGAUUUUAGAGGCAUGAAACAUCUCUUAACAACGCAAAUAGCCUAUGUGGAAGGUUUUUUAGCAUGUAGAUCAUUUAUGGCUAUGGUAGGAACUUAUCACCAUUGAGGAACAAUUAAGGUUUUGAUCAUUUUAAGAAAAAAUCCUCCUGUAAUCAAUCAUGCUUAGAACAAUAUUAUGACAGCUCUUGUCUCACUAUCUCAUAUCCCACAACAACUUAGACUUAGUUAUAGCACUCACAACCCACAAAGGUUUUAGGUUCAUGGUGGUUUAAAAGUGCUAAGUAAUCCAUACUUAGGGAAAUACUAAGUUGUAGACUAGGUAUUAGAGAAACAUUGACAAAGCAACUAAUCAUCAUUUCCAUAUGGGGAAUGUGCAUACAUGAAGCAUGUGAGCAAGCAUAUAUCUUUCUUUGAGUGUUUUAAACUUUUUUAGCAAUGCAAAUAAAUAAUUAAAAUACAAUGCAUGGGUAGAGUACUUACCUUAAUGGGGGAGAGGAUCUCCCCCAAGCUUGGCUCUUUCUCACUAUGGUGGCGGAUAGAGUAGGAACCUUGCGUCCCGACGACGUCCAUCCUCUUGCAUUGCUUGCAACAUUUGGGCAUUCUGUUGCAUCAAUUGCAACGUGGCAUCUUGUUCCACUUGUAAGUCACCCAUGUUGUUGAUGAGUUCAUCCACCUCCAUUCUCUGUUGGUGCCUCCCCUGCCCCAUGGGCGAGGAGUGUGUGUGCUCCAGAAGUGUGCAUGAUGGGGAGGUAUUCCCCCAUGGAAAUGUCCGUGGAGCUCACCUCUUCUUCCAUAGCUCCCUCUGCAGGAUAUGAGGGACCCGCCUGCCCCAUCUGGGCAGGUUGCACCAUCCCUCUUGUCACCUUGUCCGUCCCUACAACAUGGUGGACUCGCUCUUCCUUGUCCAAUUUAAUGGUUCGUUUCUUUGGCGCAUACAACCGAUGCUUCUCAUAGGCGGAGGAACUUCGGCUAUAUGGCCAUGAUAAAUCAUUUUGCAUCCACCACUUGGACCUCUUUUUAGCAUAUAAAUGGUAAUGAACAUUUGUUCAUCUAUGGCAUCUCUUUUCAUGGGCUCAGCAAUAGCACUCAUGAAACAAUGGAUGCUGCUGCUGGAGGAGCAUUGUUAUCACUUACCAUUUCUCAAGCCACUGCUCUUGUGGAAAAGAUGGCCUCCAAUCAAGGUUGGAGUGAAGAAAGAACUCAUACCUGUAAGAGAGGUGGAAGAAUGCACUAGCUCAAGGAGGUAGACAUGCUAGCUGCCAAAAUGGACCUGCUGAUGAAAAUAAUUGAUGAAAGAACCAUUGAGAAGAAGAAAGGCAUGCACAUUCAUGAUUCUGGCAUGACUUGUGAAGAGUGUGGAGAAACUGGGCAUACAGGUACCAACUGCCCAUAGUUGACAGAGGAUGUGAACUACGUCAUCAACAACAACAACUACUACUACCGUCCUCAAUAGAAUCAAGGCUGGAACCAGCAACAGUGGCCCAACUACUGAGGUAACUACUCAGGUAAUUACCAAGGUAAAAAUUCUUAUAAUGCUAAUCAACCACCUUUAAGAGAGUUAGUGUUUAAUCCAGGCAAGUUAAUGGAUAGCCUGUCUAAGAAGCUAGCAUCUAAUGAUAAAACUUUAGAAUAAAUUAAUAUUAGAAUGGAAAGUUUUUCCAAUUCUAUCAAGAGUCAGCUUAGCUUUAAUAAGAUGCUAGAAUCUUAGUUGCAACAACCAGCUCACUUUGUUGCCGCCAACGACCAAUGUAAGAUUCCUAGACAACUAGGGAAAUUAGAAACUGCAAAUCUUGUAGACAUCUUUAAUGCAGGAAGCUAUUGGAGUGAUCCUCCAAGAGGAACAUGGUUAGACUCGUCUCUACCAACAAAAAAGGGUGAUCCAUGGGGGCCGUUUAUUCCAAUCUCCACUAGAAGUGCAAACUUCGACAAGGCAAUCUAUGACUUUGGUGCAAGCAUCAACAUCAUGCCUAAGGUGAAACUUGAUUGCUAGUCGAUCGUUUCUACACUUGAACUCUUAUAAUUUGGUCGGUUCUGUGACAGCUGGCAUCGGAGCAAGUUCAGCAUUAUAAAUGCAGCGUCCGUGUAUUUAAAAACAAAAGAGUUUUUAUAUAAAACUGUGAAAACCAACACUUAAAUAUGCCAGUGGUCAAAUCCUCCUUGCCCAUAUAAGGACUCUAGGUGGCUAUUUAAGUACUGACUUGGGGGGUUCAUUUAUGCAUCUCCGUUAGUACUCAGGUAUGGAUGUGUGAUGACCGCACUAUGCUACUCUAUGGUCUAAUGGUAGAGGUAGUCUUCAAAUGUGAACUAGCCACAUAUGUCGCUAGAUUUAAAUUACGCAACGUCGCACCUACGCUCUGGUAAGUGUGUGCUGUGAGAGCAUGAUCGUCCAAACGGCGGUCUAGGGGAGUGUUCGCGGUGGUUUUCUGGAGUGGUCACAUGUCUAACCAUAGAACCACGGAAGAAACUUAAUUGGGGAGCAUUUAAUUUCUCGGGUAGUUGUGGUGUCAUUGUUUGUGUAUGUUGGGCAUGUACAAGUAAUGCGCACUUAGUUUACUGCUUUCUUGAGUGAUAUAUUGGGAAUUGUUGGGCUGCAAUGAUGUUUUCUACAGGUACUCUAACAGCGCACGUGUAAAUCGCUAGUUAUCGUACCGAGAGACGAAUGUAUGGCACCGUAUAUCUGUUAGAAUAUUAAUUUUCUAAGUUUGUGAGGACGUACGGUUCGUGCAUGCAUCAUGUCGCAUUCAUACAUACAUUCUGUCUACUCCUUCCCUUACAAUAUCGUCCCUUUUAAUUAAAUAAAUGUUGCUUAAACUAAUCCUCUUUUACCCACGGUUAUUCCUUUCCACAGAUGGACGUGCCCGCUUCACCUCGCCCCAGUGACACCUUUUUGAGCGAGUUUGGCACUCCUACCUUGCUCUGGAGGUUGCUGCAGUCUGUGGGGUAUACUGAGCCACCUCAGUAUUCUUGGUGGGAGGUGGAUAUGACAGGAGAGCUGUAGUAGUUUGCUGUGCAGGGAGUUGUCCCGCCACAUGGGGGCAGGCCUGCCUGGACAGGGUGGACCUGCAACUCGGAUGAGCAGACUCCAUGGGAAGCAGCUCAGGUUGCAGCCCAUGCGAUGCUGCUCAACAUCCGUCAGAGGUUUGGCGAUGAGCUGACAGGAGGGUGAAAGGAUCAAGAUGCCUAAGAGGGCGGGUGAAUUGGGCUUCUCUGAAAAUUUAAGCAACCUAUAAGCUCCAAUUCAACCCCUUGUGCCUAGUGUGACCUAGAGAGCUACCGAAUAAAAGUUUUGCAACCUAGUUCCAAUCCUAUUCUAGCAUGGCAAUUCUAAGAAUGUAAAAACACAAAGUAAAUGCUAGAAUGUAAAAGAGUAGUGGAAGAAAGUGCUCGGCGAUGUUUUGCCGAGGUAUCGAAGAGUCGCCACUCUCCACUAGUCCUCGUUAGAGCACCCGCGCAAGGGUCUUGCUCCCCCUAGGUCCGCGCAAGGACCAAGUGCUCUCUACGAGCUGAUUCUUUAACACUUCGUCGUGGUGAAUCGCCCAAAACCGCUCACAAGCUUGACACGAGCCACCCACAAGAACUCCGGGCGGUCUUCGUGCCUCCAAUCAGCACCGAACCGUCUAGGUGAUGGCGAUCACCAAGAGUAACAAGCAAAGAACUCUCACUUGACCCAAACAAGGCUCUAGAGAGUGGUGGAUGCACACUUGACUCUUGGAAUUCACUAGAGAAGGAUUCUCUCAAGAAAUCACUCAAAACUCAAUCCUCUCUAGGCUCUUGGGGUCAUCUCAUCUCAAUGUGCCCAACCAAGCAAUUGGUGAAGCAACAAGUAAAGCCUCAACCAAAGCCACAAGUUGAGCAAGAAAAGACACCCCAAGCUCAACUCAAGAUCUACCAUGAUGGUGAUGACUUGAUGAUGAAGAAGAAGAAGACAAGAAGGGGUGGAAGGGCAAGGCAUCCAAUGCAAAUCCAAGAUGCCAAGAUAAUGAGCAAGAAUCAAGACAAGAAGAAAGCUUAUGCUCACAUCAUGUGUUUUGUGUGCAAGAAUGAUGGACACUUUGCCUCGAGGUGUCCUACCAAGCUUGAGAAGAAGGCUCAAGCAACUCUCAAGAGGCAAGGCAAUGAGAAGCAACACAUGAGCAAGGAAGAAAAGGCUCAAUCAAAGAGAAGUUAUUACUUAUGCCGGGAAAGGGGACACAUGGCUCAUUCUUGUCCCCUAGAUAAUAAUUCUAAGCCCAUUUCAAUUGAUGAUAACACUAUGCUUAGAAAGGAUGGUAAUGGUACCUCUAUGGUUGCUAUUGCAAAACAUCCUGCUACUCAAACUAAGGCUAUGCAUAAGUAUGUUGCACCUAACUUGAGAGGACCCAAACUAGUUUGGGUACCAUCAAAAAGUGGAUGAAUAUGUGUAGGUACCAUCAGCAUUGGAGACUUGAUUCAAUUGAUCCUAUAAUUGUUCAUCAUAUGAUUGAGUCAAAUAUUGAAGCCGAGUGCACAUCCAAACCCAAUGCCAUGACAAGAUAGUGAAGUCCAAAUGUGCUACAACAUACAAGUGCAAAUAUUCAAGUUGUGGUGAUUUAUUGGAUUAUUUGAUGGCUUGCAAAUACAUGAGUUGAAGCUUGCAAAUUAGAUGAUCAUGAGCUAACCAAGGUAUAUCUUUGUUGGUCACAUUCAUUUGGGUGCAUAUGAGUUGAUUGAAUUGGAUAUAUAUGCAAUGUUGCUUGCUAUAAGAUGAUUGAAUGGAUAAGAUGAUUAGUAAUCAAGUUGGGAUUGAUUUGAGUUGGAUAAGUUCAUAAGAUGACUUUUAGUGAGUGGAUUGAAUUGAUAUAUGCCUUGUAAAAAUAUUCAAACUAGUCUUUUUCAAGUUUGAUUCAAAUUGAAGAAGUAUAGCUCAAUUGCUUGAAAUCUGUCCAACAUUGAGAAUCUGAGCUAGCUGAGAUCAAGUCUGCUUUUGAGUGAUCAAAUCUUAUUGAAAUGGCUUGAAAUUUGGUGUGCAUGCUCUACACUUAUCAUAGAAAGUGCUGUAGUAAUUUCAUGGAAAUUGGAUAAGGAAUACUUCGGUUUUGGAGUUUAUCUUAUCAGCUAUUGUGCAGCAGUUUUUAGCAUGUACAGUGGUGGAAGAAUUGAAAUCUGGUAGCAAUCUAUAAGUCAAAAGAAACUCAAAUUUUUACAGCUUCUAGAUAUCUUAGUAAAUCUCAUCUCCACCAAAUUUCGUGGUAUUUGGAUCUGUACAGUGUGAGAUAUGAGUUAUUCUUUGAAAGGUACAGAAUCUGCCAGAAAAGUGACAAAUAUUGGAUUGAUCUAGAGUCACUGAAAUUGAAAGGUCCUCAAGUUGGAAAUAUGAUUAUAAGUUUUUGAGGCACCAAAGUUUGGUUUGGAAUUGAUCUAGAAGCAUGACAAGUAAUGAGUAAAAGGUCAUUUGAUUGUGAAAUGUACUUGGUGUGCACAUUUUAGUACUCAAAUUGAAGAUCAAGAUCAAACUCAAGAUGAAGAUGAAGUUUAAGUUCUAGUGACUACUGGCGAUCAUUUAAUAGAAAGAUAAGGACUUAAACAAGUAGAAAGAAAAGGACUUAAAGAAGGAUUCAUGGUUACUCAUCAUAUUAAGUCCGUCACUUGAAUCAAUCAAUCAAAGCAAUUAAAGUGAGUAUCAAAAAUAGUUCUUUGGAGAGAGGUCACUUCUCCCUAUGUGAGGGGCGUGCCGCCCGAGGAGUGGGUAAACCAAGUGUGGUGCUUGGAAGGCUAACAUGGAAGUGGUGAUCUAAAGAACAUUUGAGAUGCUUAGUUGAAGCAAUCAAAAGGAUUGAUCAAGAAAGCAAGCAACAACCCAAAAGAGAGCUAGUCAUGCUAUUUCAAGUAAUAUUCUUAAUAGUUCUCUCAUGCAAGCAAUGAUCAAAAGAAGAAGCAAGCCAACCACAACAAGAUAUUGCACUUGAUCAAUAAUUGGUUCUCCAUUCAUAUGGGUGAAGAUUUGAUCUAUCAAUUGGCAUUUAUAUUUGGUCUUCACCAAGCUUAUAGUUGGACUUCACAUUGCUAUUUGGAGCUAAAUUAGAAUCUUAUUGACUAUCCUCUACUCCAAGAUAGCAAAGGUAUCAUUGUAAUGUGCAUGAUCAUUUCAUCCCUUACUAGUAUGUGGUUAGUGCAUAUAGUAAAUGCUUAAUAGGAUCAUGCAUGACAAAUGAAAAAGUUUUCAAUUCAUAACCUACCACUAUUGCUUGAAUGAUUAAUUGAUCUAGUGGUAUGUGUAUGAGUUUGUUCAUGAGCUAGUAAACCUAAGUACUUGAUCUAUUUUGUAUUGUUAACAAAAGUGACAAGUACAACAUUGGCAAGAUAACCCUUAAUGAGAGGUGUGAAGAAGCUUGUCAUUGGUUCAAACCGGACUUGGAAGCAUAGGCAAAUCAACUUAGUUCAAGUCAACAAUUAGAAGCUCAUGAUGAUUGGAGUACAAGAACAAGACAACAAUGCAAAUGGAUAUCUAGAUUCAAAUAUUUCCUCAAUUGAUAUCCAACAAGUGGUACUCAUGAUGAUGAUAGCAAAUGUUCAAGAUAGCAAACAAGUGGUUCCAUACUAGAAGACCUUAAUUGGUGGAAGAAUCCCAUAUGGUAUCGGACAAGAUAUUUCAAAUGAUAUCACACUUAUACAUAUGGUAUCUAUCAUACAAGAAGGUGGUUCCACAAGUGAUCCUCAACUUUAAGUGAUCAUCAAGCAAAGAGAGUUCCCUCACCAACAAAAUUGACAAGUGAAUGACCCAUGCUAUGACAUAGGGGGAGUGCCCCACCAAAUGGUAUCAAGGUCAAAGAUCCUAUGUGGUAUCUCAAGAGCAACUCAAGUAAUGUCAUUCCAACACAUGGUGAUGUCCAUAAAAAAUGCAAGAUUCAAGCCUCAACCAUCUAUCCCAAUGCAAUCCUUUGUCACAAUGAGAUUCACAUUUUUACAAAUGGUAUCAAGCGAUUUAAUUGGUAUCACAUACCUUUUAUGGAAAUUGAUGACAAAGGGGGAGAAGUUGGAAUAAAGAUAUGAUCAUGGGAUAAGUAAGUUGGAACAAAGAUAUGAUCAUGGGAUAAGUUGGACAACAAAAGAUAUGUUUCAAGGGGGAUAGAUCAAAGAUGGACAUGGACAAGGGAGCAACAUUAAAAGAAAAGAUGAUGGAUCAAAAUUCUUGGACAAAAGAGAAGCACACAAGUAGGGGGAGCAAGCUCAUGAACAUUGAUUGUUUGCAUUUGAUAUGUGCAUAUUCAUGUGCUUGCUUGCAUUGCAUAAGUUUUAAAUUCAAUAUGCAUGCUUGUCUGGUGUAUGCUAGUUAUAGAACUUGAUUGAUGAUAUGAUAACUAGCAUGCAUAGGUUGGUAGCUAGACUUGUGUUCUUCAAGAAAAGACUAGACCCUUGCCUAUAAUGUUGAUCUCACGGGGUUUCUAGUGUUUUUGUUGUCUAGCUACACAUGGUGCUAAGGAUGGUGUAUAUCGAAUACUUCAAAUGAUAUCGAAUUUGGUAUCGAGCUACAAAGGUUUAUUCUAUACACCUUAGCACUUAGUAUGGUUUUAUGGUGCUUAUCCAAUUCUUGACAUAGAGCUUAAAUAUUGGAUAAGUAGCAUAAAAUCCAAAUCAAGUUAGCAGUUUACACUUGUGUGAAGUGCUAGCUUGAAAAAGCUUAAUUUCCAUAUCUUUGUAGAGUUGUCAUCAAUUACCAAAAAGGGAGAGAUUGAAAGGUCCUUGUUUGGUUUUGGUAAUUGAGUGACAACUUAGGUGGACUAAUAGCGUUUAUGUGAGAUACACAGGAGAUUAGUCCACAAGUGAUGAUGUGAUGAUGGAAGAGCUCAUUGCAUAUGAGACAUGACAUGGAGUCAUGUGACCAAGGUGGAGAAGAUCAAGAUGAGGCUUGGCUUGAUGGACCGGUUGCAAGAGUGAAGGGCAAGUCGGAGGCUUUGAAGUGAGGGACCGCGUGUGACGGUGAAGCUUGAGCAAGACUUGGCGCCGAUGGACCGAGGCAACGGUGAAGAGCAAGUGAGGUCAAGAUCAAUGAACCAAUACGGUCACGUGAUGAUAUGAAGUGGAUCAUAUCAUUUGGUGAUUGAUUGGUGCAUGUGUUGCAUCAACAUUGGAGAAGAUGGAAUGGAAAGCGCAAGGCAAAGGUAUAACCUAGGGCAUUUCCAUUUCACCGGUCAUAGGUGUGUACAGAAGUUUAUGACCGGAUUUAGGAUAGAUGGCCGUACUAUCAAGAGGGGCAAACUUGUUUGCAUAUCGGUCAUCUAGUGCCACUUGAGCGAUCUAACUUUGCAUAUGUGUUAGGAUCGAGUGGCGUGGCAAGUUGAGAGGCUAACUCCUUUGAGAAAAUGUUUGUGAAAAUGCUAACACACUUGCACAUGGUGGUGUACACUUGGUGUUGUUGGCACAUUUGCAAAGGAGGUGGAGUUCCUAGGGUUGAGAGAGGCGCUUUUGAGAAAAUGAAGCGUAUGUUUUCUAUUGCGCCGGUGGGAAAUUUGGAGAACUCGCGGGAUGUUUCUCACUGAGAAACUGUUGAGGAUAUCAGUAAGGGGUAUCCUAACUGAUGCACAUAAUGAGAUUAUCCGUACGCAGGUCGAGGCCCUCAACUCGACGCUCUAGUCAGUCGUACGUAUAGUCAUCGACAACCGCAGCCUCGAAGAUGGUAAAGGCGUCGAGCGAACCGAUCAUGGCUCGAGCGCCGCUACCGUCGAAUACGGAAAUAGGCUCGAGCAAACCAGGAGGCGUCGAGCGCAAGGACGCCGCCCGCCGCCUCACGCGCGCAUGGGAACCAGGACAUUUAAUGCGCCUGUCGCGUUCUCACCUAACACGCUAGUCAUGGGAAGCGUGAUAGGGAACAGGCACCCGUCCCGUCAUUCUUUUUGCAGCCUUCCCCACCAAACAACCCAGAGCGUGUCAGGACGCGGGAAGCAGGGAUGGAACGUCUAAUCAGGACCCCCUCGAGACAUCCAAGGUCAACGCUCUGGACAGCGAAACGCUACACGGCGGCCGACCCUCGACCAGACCCGUUUUCCUCCAGGAGAAGGGUUGGACGUCGAAUGGCAACAAAGCAACCACUCCGACGGAUCCGCCGCUAUAUCGUACAGGCGUGCCACCAAUGAACCAGUCCAAGACGGCGCGCGGAGUAGGAUUCCAGGGCACGCGUAAUCAUCAUCAAGCUACCAGGACGGGAUGGCUCGAGACCACGCCGGUACGGAGGCCUCGAGUAGGUCCGCGCGCCAUGCCUCUAUCGACCCCUACUCUGACACCUACACUUGUACCCUAGGCCUCUCCUUGGAACUAUAAAAGGGGAAGCCCGGGAGAGAACACAGGGGGACGGGGCACGACACCCAUACGCAGUAGAGCUUCUACACUCCCCCUCAUUUCAUACCACGCUUGUAUUCACCCCUGUACAAGCACUUAGGUGCAGAAUAAUACAAACUCUCUCCCCCCGCUGGACGUAGGGCCUUCUCUUGCACGAACCAGGACAAAUCUUUGUGUGUCUUUUUGCAUCACCAUCUGGGAAAGGGAGCACGAAUACAAAUUCACUCGUCGGUGUGACCCCCCGUGGGGAAAACACAGACAGUUGGUGCACCAGGUAGGGGUCCUGCGUGUUUUUCAUCAAUUUCCCAUUUUUUCCCAGAUGGCCACUCUUUCUUCACCGAUUCCGCGCUCCACGGUGAUUUGGUUUGGGAGUCUCGAGUUCAUGUCCACUGGCUCCGGCUAUGACAUGACCUUGCUCUCGAUCAAAGGGCCAGGAGGAGCCCGCGUUGCACCAACCUGGAUGAGGGCCCCGAGACGUCCUCACCACCACGCCUCCCCGCCCAAGAAGAGGCGUGGACAGAACCACCAUCGCCCUUCUACCUCACCACGACCAGCAGUCCGUGCCAGGCAGGAGACGGCACGAGGGCCGAUAGCUCCGUGCACCAUGGGCACGACGGCUCAGUGCCGCGAGGAUCACACGACGACAGGAGGUGACGCGCCCCGCGCACUCUCCCCCACCGCCAGGCUACUUCCACAUGUGCUGUUCGCCUCAAGAGGAGCCUUGCCGUUCGGCCUGGACAAUGCCGCAGUGUCACUUGCUAGGGCGAUAUGCCCAAACGCCCAGACGUACGUGGAGAGACCAAUGGUCCUCCCACGCGACCCCGGAGCACAGCAACCGACGUCCGAGCUACCGGAUUUCUCCCAGGUACGAGGCCUCCGCCGCCUAGGCCCUGGGCACUACACGAUUACAUCUCUUAGACAGCAGCUGCUGGAGGAAGGACACGGAUGCUUUUACGCCGCUGAGCCGGACUCCGGCUCGGAAUCCGACAGCCAUGACCCUACUAGGGAGUGCUUCCAUAUCGACGGAGCGGUGGAAACCACCGACGAGACACAAGACGCCGUUGCGGGCGCGCGAGCCCCUGCAGCAAGGGAAGACCCCAGGAUGCCUGGGAAUGAUGGUCAGAUCGACCCCCCUCCGCAAGAAGACAGUGCCGCGCAAAUUGCGCAGCUACGAGAGCUCAAAGCAAAGCUUGACGAGGACCGUGAGCGCCUCAUCCUGCUUGAGCAGAUCCUCGAGCAGGACCUGCCUUACCCGCCUGGCGGGAGUGUCCGCAGAUGAGCUCGAGAGGUACACUGACAGAUCGUUGGAGACGUAGAGCCAGAACAGCCCGUCAGCAUUUUCCCUCGAGCAGGCCAAAACGUCAUGGCAGCAACAAUGCUGCUGUGAAACAUGCCGGAGCUGUCGAACUCCCAAGCUCGACGCAUCUGAGACGAGGUGCAGACACUACUCCAGGUGGCGACAGUUCAACAGGCCGAAAGCUCGUCUCCUCGACAUCGAGGAGCUGCCACUAAAAAGUGUGACGAGCCAGCCCAAAACGAAAAGGAGGUGUCAGUCCAUCAGUAGCCACCCCCUCGAGGGAAAAAGACCACGCUCGUUCUCCCCGUCGACAAUCAGCGUCGACACGACGCGCGACGCGACAAUGAAGAGAAUCAACGCCGUCGAUACUGAGACGUUGUUGACACCAUUUUUGGGCACGUGUCCAUGAUCGGUAGAAUGCAGGUUGGCAAGACAAGACGGUAGGGCUUGGUCUACAAGAUGAAUUGCCGAUGAGGAUGGUUGCCGAUGAAGAGAUAGCUGGAUGUGGCUAAGUCCAUGGGUGGUGAUGUGCUCGUGCCGAUGGCUAGUAUUGAUCGUUGCUGAUGAGGGAUCUACCGAUGGCGUAGAAGGAAGACUUGGAGGUUACCAAGUGGUCCGUAGUGGUGUUCUAGCCUGUCACGGCAAGAUAGUUUUGUGUUUUCCUUAGUUAUUUAAAUCGUUUUGUACACGGAUUCUGUCCAAAUUUGGAAUUCGAAUUCUAGUCAUGUCUGGUUGUAGCUCUCGGAGCAGGGUAUAAAUGUAGACCCUAGAGCUUUGUAAUCAGGGAAUCUAUCAAUCAAUCAAACACAAGUUUUUACUCAUAUUCCAAGCAUCUACUUUUUCGACGACUUUGUCAUACUUUUUUCCUUUUACUACGAGUUCUUAGGAGUUCGUCGACUUAAGCUCGGUGUAUUCUCAAGUUCCGCGUGAAUACCUCUUGGCCGUGACAUCCGUGCGCAUCGCUGUUGUCAGGACCAAAGUAUUCGAGUUAUCACCUUUGCCGAUAGUAAUGUCAAAUCGGCUGGCACGCCUUAACGUUUGAAUCGGGUAUCAGCCCUUUAUGUUUGCAGAUCCGCUUUUGCAUCAACACAUCUUUUGGCACGCCCAGUGGGACCAGAUUCAAGAUCAAGAUCAACAUGUCGACUUCUGAGUUUGAUCAAGAGAACGUCAUCCCCGUGACGGAGGCCAAUCUUAAGGAUGAGCAGAAGCAAGCUAUUGCUAAAGCCAUGGAGGACUACAAGCAGCAAUGCCUGAGGUCCUUCAGCAUGAAUAGGAGCGGCGAAGUGAUCCAGAAGGACGCGCUGCCGACGCCUCGGCAGGUUACUUUUGAGUCCAAUUCUGGUAAACUUCAGGAGAUGGUCGAUAGUGCCAUCAACCGUGCCCUGAUCAACCAAGCUGGUGUGCUGUCCAAUAUGGUUUUCAACGCCGUGGCUAGAACUUUCAAGGAAGGACAAUUGCCACCAGAUUAUGUGGGCCCCUCUCACCAUCAGCCAAGAUCACCGGUGGUCACAGCUCCAUCGGCUGCUACAGCCGCUGUGGGUACACAAACCACCGUUCCUCCAAGCACGUUGGGAGUUACUAAUGCGCAAUCUACGCCGAUGACAACUAAUCCGCCAACCUCAGAUGGGCAGAUCAAGCUUGCUACAGAUCUGCUGGCAUCGGCAAUGUCAGGACAGGUUCCUCCUCCUAACUGGUGGGGUUAUGGUAUGCCCCCAGAGUUCGCAUUGAAGACACCUAGCACAUCUCAGGCGGCUGAUAUGAGAGGCAAAACUCCUAUGACAUCGGCACCUCCAAGUAUGCCGAUGAAUCAGAGUCCCCAGUAUACUACGACCACUACUGCAAGACCUCACAUCGGGAAUUCUCAAGCUCCAACGUUCCAGAUGCCUGAAGCAUCGGCAGACUCAAUGCUGCUGCAACAGAGGUUUAUGACUCAACCUGGGUAUGUCAAUUCAAUGAUGAUGCCCAAUUACCAGUCAUCGGCAGGACCUAUGCCGAUGAAUGCUAAUAAUGGAUGGCUUGGGCAGCAAGUUUUUCCGCAAACGUCCCAACACAGUCAUCAGGCUACAGGGUUCCAGCAAGGCCAGAUCUAUCCUGGGUUUCAGAAUCAGGGGAUUCCCAACCAGCCAAUGAAUCUUGGGCACCAGGUCGGCGGACAACAGAUUGGCGGGCAACAGCUUGGUGGUCCACAGAUUGGGGGCCAGAUGAUUAACCCGAUGUUCCAUGCAGAUCGUGCGCCGCAUCGACACGUGGAAGCUUACCAGCAGGCGCCCGAUCCGCAACCGCCUCAUCGGCAAGAUGCCGAUGCGUAUUGGGCCGAUAAGAUCGCUGAAGUGAUGAGGGACCAAUUUGGGAUAAAACCCAAAGUCAACACUUACUCUUAUGGGACACCGUAUCCUCCCGCAUAUGAUUUGAUCCCGCUUCCAAAUCGGUACAAGGUACCGGAUUUUACUAAGUUUUCUAGGCAGGAUGACACGUCAACCAUGGAGCACGUCAACAGGUUCAUCAUCCAAUGCGGGGAAGCUGGUAACAGGGAUGAGUUAAGGGUUCGUUUAUUCUCGUCAUCAUUGUCUGGAUCGGCUUUCACUUGGUUUAUAUCAUUACCUCCCAACUCAGUGAUUACCUGGGCUGAUCUGGAGAAACAAUUCCACAAGUACUUCUUUUCUGGGGUCCAUGAGAAGAAGAUCACAGAUUUGGUUAAAUUAAGGCAACGCAAUGAUGAAUCGGUUGAAAGUUUUGUGCAGAGGAUACGAGAAGUCAUGAACAAAUGCUAUAGCCUGGUUCUGGAUGAUCGGCAGCUAACCGAUUUGGCUUUCCAGGGUUUGUUGCCACACAUCAGGGACAAGUAUGCGUCUCAGGAGUUUGAAAGCUUAAGUCAUUUGGUGCAGAGUGUUGACGGUCCUUAAGUACCAAAUAUAAUCAUCAAAUAAAUAAAGAAAAGGAUCCAAAUGCAACCAACACCUAGACUUAGGGUUUUAUCUGACAGAAUUCCACGAGUUUUGGUGUUUGUCUAUUUCUGCAGGGGGUUAUCUGGAAAUACGAAAGAAAGGCCCACAUGUCAGGAUUACAUAGAGAUAUCAACGCACCGCAUAAUUUUCUACCAUCUAGAAGGCUCCAGAAGCCACGGGAAGAAAGCAGAGGCCGAAAGGGGCCAGGCCCAGGGCGCCCGCCCUCUUUCCCUUGGCGCCCGCCCUGUCCUGGACUCCGUUCGGGACUCUCUUCGCACACGAUGUUCCACCGACCUAAAGGAUCAAGGAUAACGUAGUACCACAUCGCCUACCGACCCAAAAACGCAUAGAGGAGGAGGACUAUAUAAGGAGACCCCCUGGCCCCUGGAGAAGACAAGAAGUUAUCAUAGAGUUGAGGGGUGCCCUCGAAGGAAAACCUCUUCUCUAAAUAAUAUUUCUUUUUAGGCUUAGCAUCCAAUGUAAAGUAGAAAUAGAUCUUCUAGUUUCUACUAGAUUGAGAGAGAUAGAGUGGAGGUGUAGAUCGGAGGAAGGCGGGCCUGUCGGUGUCUACUACGAGUUGUACCUGCGGGAUCAAGUCUUCUAACCCGAGGCUUGCUCCUAAGAUUUUUCAGUAAUUCGACUUCUAAUUCUAGUAAGUUCUUGUUUUAUUGUUCUUUGGUUUAUGAGUUUACUUUAAUCCUCUUCCGGUUGAGUAUUAGAGUAAUCAUUGCUAGCGUAAACGUGGUGUUUAGGGUAGGGUACUCAUAGAUAUCCCCUGACUAGCUGGACCGUGGUAGUAGCGAGGAACGUGACAUUUCCGAGUUACCUUUGUAUCCCAUAUCUUGUUAGCAGGACGGGUAGGGUUUAUAGGUGCGGGUCGAACAUCCUUUGUGGUGUCUAGAUUCCGUAAGCUUCCCCAAUAGAACAGUAGAUCAUCCUUACCAAGGUUAGAACGAGACUACGGUUGCAGUCUUCUCUAUACAUCACUCACAUCGAGAAACAUUCUUUGUAGCCUAAAGGGAUAGUAGCAAUAUAUUUGGUUAGUCAGAUGCACCCUUUCUCCCGGUGGUAAAAAUAUAAAUACGAUAACUCUGGAUAACCUCCCGAGUGAAAUUCUCACCGAUAUCCGUGCGCUUGCGGAUCAUUUCCUGAUUGCGUUACCAAAUAUCAACAAGCAUUUCUGGUGCCGUUGCCGGGGAGAAAGACGUUUUGCUGAGAUAACUUUGAGUCUUGCUAUUAUCUUGUAUUAUACUUUUAUACUUUUAUUCUUUUAUCUUUUUAUUUUUAUCUUUAUGGAUAACUCAAAUUCCAUACCUAUUAUUAAAUUCUUUGCACCUUCGGAGACCAGCCAUAGACCAUGGGAGUCAACAAGUCCUGCCCCUAAUUAUGAUCUCUGUCCAGAGUUGAUUGCAGUAGGUGUUCACGGUCCUUAAUGCUCACAUUUAACCAUCAACUAAUCAUAGAAAAGGAUCCAAAUGCAACUAACACCUAGACCUAGGGUUUUAUCUGACAGAAUUCCACAAGUUUUGGUGUUUGUCUAUUUCUGCAGGUGGUUAUCAGGAAAUACGGAGGAAAGGCCCACACGUCGGGUUUACAUAGAGAUAUUAACGUGUCGCGCAAUUUUCUAUCAUCUAGAAGACUCCAGAAGCCACGGGACCGAAGCGGAAGCCGAGAGGCCUCAGGGACAGGGCGCCCGCCCUUCCCCCUGGACCAAUCAGGGUGAAGUUCGGGGAUCAUGCUCCACCGACCUAAUACUUCAAGGAAAACCACACGAUCAAUGUCGGUUUGAUCCGACGGCCCAGAUUCACUUGAAGGGACUAUAAAACCAGACCCCCCUGGCCCCUGGAGAUCAUACCUCUUCUACAGAAUCAAAGCUAGGGUUUCAAUUCUUCAUCCAAGUAGAGAGGAUCCCUCUAGUUCUUCUAGUUCUACCUCUAGUUCAUCUAGAUCUAGUUCUAGUUUAUCUAGUUUUAGUUCUAGUUCCUCUAGUUCUAGUUCUAGUUAGUUUUAGUUGUAAUCUAGAAAAUAGGGAGAGAGAAGAGGAGAGCGGAGGAGGAGCCGGAUCUGUCGGAUCUUCCUCAACAUUAUACUUUUGCAGCAUCUGGUUCGUUCUUCAUCAUUCUCCAGGUUCUUCAAUUCAUAACUUCUGAGUUCUCUAAUUACUUUUAUUUACAUUCAAGUUAUUUAUUGGAUUCCCGCUUGCAUCAAGUGCUCUAGUCUUUAUAACGCUAGAGUAGUAAUUAAUAGAUUAGACGUGGUGUUUAGUCUUGCAAUUACCUGGAAUUGCACCCAAUCCUGCAGAUUGUUGUGGUAGCCUUAGGGUAGUGACAGCCGUAACGGUCGACGUAUUCCACCUCGUUCGGAUCGGUGUUUGUAGGACCGUAGUCAGACCUUCCUAUCCCCCUUCUCAUCUCUUUCUGUGGUUAGUGCUCUGAUGUCCCGAUAUAAAUAAUCUUGAAGUAAUUCUUGAUUCUUAGAUCAACUAGAGAACUCUCAGGAAACUUCCUCUCUUCCCACCAAAAAUACUUAUAUAGUUAUCCUUGGGCGAUCUUGAUUCUUAAUUAGUACACUCACGUUCUCUGUGGAAAAUCGAUACUCUGGAAUACUCCCGGGUGAAAGCUAGAUCGGUAUCCGUGCGCUUGCGGAUUUUUCUGUUUGCGUUUAAAAUACCCAACAAGCUUUCUGGCGCCGUUGCCGGGGAACGGUAGCUGUGCUAGUUUCGAACCAAGUCGUCCGUGUAUCCUUUUUCUUUUCCUUUUUUACCACACUCACCAUACCAUUUUCACCACACCACAUGGAUUUCACUCUAAGCAUUAAUGAGCAUGGAAUUUAUUUCAUAGCCACUUCAUUUACUCCAUGCUCAUAUGCAACAUCUUCACAAUCCAUUGGUCUCUCCAACAUCACCACAUUCGAGAUCUCCAACCCCCUCAUCCUUUCUAUUUAUAAAAACUUUAAAAGGGUGGUUGUCGAUGCAUAUGUCUAUAAGAACUAUUGCAGAUCUCGUUGAGUUGAUAUUGAUAUAGGUCAGCGUUGGAGGGGAAACCACUUCGCCGACAUAAAUUGAUGGUUUCCCAAGGACAAGCUUAGUGUCCUAAAACAAGCACUGAUCAGAUUGUAACAUGAGCUUUUAAUUAUUUGCAACAUUAACUUGUGUAUUGAGCAUAUAAGGAUAAUUGUACAAAUAUUCCUUCGGGUAUUCUUGUCACUAACCUUUCCACGCUUGGAGCAAGAAGAUCAGAUGAAUGACAAGCACAAGGUAUGUCCAACCAAUCAUCAUACAACAUUGAAUUAAAUUCAUCCAAACUUGAAUUCUACAAAAAUUCAAGCUUGGGGGAGUACUUUACAUAAAAACAUCAUUUGCCAUGUUGCUAUGUUGGUUGUCCCUACCUUUGAGACAUGCUCAAUUUGUUAAAUACUAAUCACACUACUUCAUCUCCACUUGAGUAGAUCUCUAUAAAUGCUCUCAUACCACCUUUAUUUGCUUUAGUAUAUGUCUAGGUUUGGAGUAGUUUCAUUUAUCUCUUAAUUAAGCAUGGUGCUUAGUUUAGGAAUGAUGAUCUUACUUCCAAGGGAGUUUAAAUUAAGCAUGGUGCUUAGGUUAAAAUGCCCUCCUAAAUCAAAUUAGACAUGGUGUCUAGGUUGAUUUUUGAGCCGAUAGUAUGCUAUAGUAGAUUUUGGAUAUUUUGUUGGACUAAGCCGUGCAGGAAAACUUUCACUAUCGACUUGGGAAGUCCUGAGAUAAACUCACAUUGGAGAUAAAGAGAGAGACACAUGAAGUUUAACAAUUUACACAAGGAAGGCAUAGCUCACAAGAGAUGAUCCAUGGAUGGUGCCACAAACACGAUGCACAACUGCUAACAAAGGAAAGCUUCCACAAGGUGAUACUAUACCAUCACUCUUCAAGUAAGGUAAUAUCUUAAGGUACUUGACUAUCACUUUUAUAAGUUUCUCCUUGGUUCUAGCGUUCACAUGAAUAAAAGAGACAAACAUGUAUGAUUUACAAAUCUAGAUUAACCAACCUAGUCGAUUCAAUAUGUUUAGUCAUUCCACCUUUGUGAUCCCACACUCCUAAUCAUAUGAGCUAAAAUGUUGCACACUCAAUCUUUGGAAGAUAUAUUUAAAAAAAAACAACAUAAAUAUAGAUACAUUAUCUUUCCAUAAGGUUGAGUGAUCUGAUCUGACAAAUGUUUUAAAUGUUACACUCAUGAUCUUAUUAUCCAUCAACUUUGUCUUGCUCACUAUGCUUAAGGUUAGAGAGAACAAAUACACUUUUGGUUCUGUUGGUGUUUUCCACCAACAGGGCCCAUGCACUUGAUCUCUGCCUUGUCUCUAUGAGCAGGUACACUUCGAGCAAAAUAUGAAGGACUUUUAUAACUCCCAGACUCCACGAAGUGAAGAACCUAGAUCUACGAGCACAAACACACUGGAGAUACUGGACACUCAGGCAAUCACUGCCCUGAGAUGCUUGAGGACAUAACUACUGGAGUAACCCUGUUGUGGAAGUAAUUACUGACCUUCUGCUGGUCAAGAAAUACAAUCCAGGACGUCCCGUCAUCCCGAUCUCCAUCGGCAUGGUGGACUUCCUAGAAGCACUCUGCAACUUUGGCUCCAGCGUCAACAUUAUGCCCAGGGGAAUAUUGAAGAACACAUCCUUUACUAGAAACAACCGUGUGCUUGCAGCCUGCAGAUCAGACACUAAGUUUCCCAAAGAGAAUAUUGAAGAACCUCUGCGUCCGAGUUGGUACCUUGUACGCCCCAGCAGACUUCGUGGUGAUAGAGUCUGGUACUGAUGAGAGGGCACCCAUCCUAGGGAGGCCAUUCUUGAACACCUCAGGAGCUGUCAUCUACGCUAGCGCUGUCAAGAUCAGUUUCUUCAUCAAUGGGAGGAAGGAGACGUUUUCCUUCAAGAACAAGAUUACACAAAUCUCAGAGCAAUCCAGACAUGAACCAAGGAAGAGGACCAACAGGAGGAACAAAAACAAGCAAAUGUGGACCGAGUCAGCUAAGAUGGUGACUACAGUUCAAGGAGGUCAAGAUCGUCGACUUAAAUCACCGUUCCUGACCAAAAAGGACGACUCAGAUAUCCCAAGCAUCCAGUGCUCCAUUAAUGGAUACAACUUCUAGAAGACGCUUUGCGACACCGGAUUACGCAUCAACAUAAUGGCCGCAGUCACCUAUCAGCUCCUGUUCGGAACCAUGCCCCUAAAACCGACAUACAUUAAGCUCCACAUGGCAGAUCAGACAUUUCGAAAGGUUGAAGGAGACCGUUCCUCAGCACCGUUAAAGCAAUCAUCUACAUUGGAACCGGCGGAGUCCACAUGCACUUCCCCUCUGAAAAGGUACGCCACUAUUUUACUAACCUUAACUAUAUAGUUGAAGACUCUAAGUAGGUCAGGACAAGAAGAAGACAAUGCAACCGCAACCAGAGGAGGAAAAUCAUCAAGGACGGAUGGGCAGACUACGAAGGAGAAGUAGUAAGGUCCGAAGACAUACAACUUGAACAGAACUAUCCUGAGGAGACCGUAGCACCGAGUCAGGUGUGUAGAGAGAAGAUAGUUAUACAUGAAGAGCAGACGCCGCCGGAACCACCGACUACGCCAUCCAGCGAAUCCCAAGACGACUGAGAAAACGGAGAGUCCUGUUCGGAGGACUUAAAAACACAAAACGCCUUGCCAAGAGGUAAACUUGGUAGUUAUUUUUUUUUCUUUUCAAUUAUUUUCAAUAGUUUGCUUAGUUAAUCAGGUUCAUAUCAUCUUGAAAAGAAAAUAAAAAUGUUAAAAAUAGUAAGCCCCAUGUGAGUAUGCUCAUGGCAUAAAACCCAUAAGUACAUUCACUGUGGUGGCGUAAGAAUGAAAUAAAUAUAUUCCUAUCCUAUAAAAAUGAGAAUAUAUAAAUAAGAUUGUGAUCCUACUAAAGAGAGUAACAUUUAUUGAGGAGGCUCAACAUCAUAAAGGCUAGAUAUUUAUGCUAACACUUAACUAGUUAUACAAAGCUUUGUUGUCUAUUUGAGCUCCAUAGAAUUCAAGGAUCAAAGAAGACUAGCAGACGGAGGACAUCCUAAUCGCUGUCAGGGUGCUGCUGACAUUCAAAUACACCUUCACCACUUGCUAGCUACAUUAUAAGAAACUACGUCAAAAUCCAGCUUGGGGGAGAGCACCCCCAUUUAUUUAGCUAAGUAUUCUACUCACGUUUAUACUUUACUCUAAUAAUAAAAAGAUGCAUAAUCAUAGAAACCCAAAUAAAGAUUUUGUGCUUAUAUAUCUUUGCUUAGUUUGCUAAAUAAAUAAAUAAAUAAAGUUUGCUAUGAACUCUCAUGAUAAGCUCUCACAUGGAAAUGAUGAAUAGUUGCUCUGCCAUGACUAGUUCUUAAAAUUGAAAUCUCUCUCAAGUUUAGGCAUGAUUGUUAUUAAUUAAGAUUUGCUCUAAACCUGAACUUGUGGGAAGAGUACUUGAUCUAAAGUCUAAGUCAUUAACGGAUACGAUAUGGGAAGGUUGAGCUGUUGUUUAUCUGUUCCUAGAGAUGCUAGAAUUCUAGAAAAUUUUAUCUUUGAAAAUCUUUAAAAUGUUGCAUGAUGAGUUCCUGUAUGAUGAGAGUUUAAAUUCCUACCAUAGCCAUAUAUACAUGCUUGCUAGACUUUGAGCUACACAUUUACUUUUUACUGCUUAUGAGCAUUGAGUGUGGUCAAGCUGUGUAGACCCUUAGGAGCUUGUCAUGUGGUUAAGUCAAGAUUCACUUGCACGUUCACUCAUACAUGCUACUUCUACUCCAGAAGUACCAUCCACAUAUAUCCAUCCAUUUCCAUCUCCAGAACCACCCAAAAAUAUUCUACUCCUAAUCUGGGAGAGAAUAGCCAAAAACAUUCUCCUAUUUCUGUUUUUCCCUGUGAAAUAAAUGCUCAAGUUAUCUUGGUUACUACCACUUGCUAUAUUAUUUCAGGAGAUGAGUGCUCUAAAAAAAAGAAAAAAGAGAGAAAAAAAGAGAUACGAGGAAAUAAAAAGGGGCAAGUGCCCGGAACCUCGAAGAAAAGAAAAAGUGAGACAAGAGGUAAAAAUGGACAAGUGUCCGAUAGUAGAAUUAGGGGUACAAGAUACCCACCUGAGAGAAAAGAAAAAGAAAACAUAGAGCAUCUCAUUCUCCUCAAAAAGUUUCAAAAGAGCAAGAAAGGUAUGUAUCCCCUCAAAAGAGCACAAGUAGAAUUAGACUUUCACCAUUGUUAUCACCAUCAUUACCAUGCACCAUUCAUUCGCCACACAUGCACAUCUUGAUUUGACUUAUUGACUUGUUUUUCUGGAUCCAUGGUUUGACUAUACAAUACAUGUCUUGUAAGUAUGUAUACUUUAUCUCCCACCUAUGAGCUCCAGAUAUUAAAGCCUUAUUAGAGUAGGGUGAGAGAGAAGGCAAUGCCACUAUGCCUUAUACCACAAAUACUACAGAUUUUGAGAGAAGGAGUAUACCAUCACUGCCUUGGUAAGGAUCCAAAAAUACCACAAAAGAGAGACUAGAGAGAGUCAUACAAGGAAUCUCUGAGUUUUAUUUGAAAAUCUGCAAAAACUCCAGAGCUAUAGUUAAUCGAAGAACAAGAGACAUGGUGUUUGACUAGACUGUUCUAUAUUUUAACUACUCAAGACAGAAGUGAUGGUUACAAGUCCCAUGGUGAAAGGUAAAUGAGUAAGUUUUAAGUCUUAACAGUUUACUCUAACCAGAGAUGAAAUCUUGUUUAAACGCAUGUGUAUUUUUAAGUUAUGAAACCACUGCAGAAACUCUUGAGUUCAUCUUUGCUCAGGGACGAGCAAAGGUUAAGCUUGGGGGAGCUUGUUGACGGUCCUUAAUGCUCACAUUUAACCAUCAACUAAAUAUAGAAAAGGAUCCAAAUGCAACUAACACCUAGACUUAGGGUUUUAUCUGACAGAAUUCCACAAGUUUUGGUGUUUGUCUAUUUCUGCAGGGGGUUAUCAGGAAAUACGGAGGAAAGGCCCACGCGUCGGGUUUACAUAGAGAUAUUAAUGUGUCGCGCAAUUUUCUAUCAUCUAGAAGACUCCAGAAGCCACGGGACCGAAGCGGAAGCCGAGAGGCCUCAGGGACAGGGUGCCCGCCCUAGUCCUAAGGGCGCCCGCCCUUCCCCCUGGACCAAUCAGGGUGAAGUUCGGGGAUCAUGCUCCACCGACCUAAUACUUCAAGGAAAACCACACGAUCAAUGUCGGUUUGAUCCGACGGCCCAGAUUCACUUGAAGGGACUAUAAAACUAGACCCCCCUGGCCCCUGGAGAUCAUACCUCUUCUACAGAAUCAAAGCUAGGGUUUCAAUUCUUCAUCCAAGUAGAGAGGAUCCCUCUAGUUCUUCUAGUUCUACCUCUAGUUCAUCUAGAUCUAGUUCUAGUUCAUCUAGUUCUAGUUCUAGUUCCUCUAGUUCUAGUUCUAAUUAGUUCUAGUUGUAAUCUAGAAAAUAGGGAGAGAGAAGAGGAGAGCGGAGGAGGAGCCGGAUCUGUCGGAUCUUCCUCAACAUUAUACUUUUGCAGCAUCUGGUUCGUUCUUCAUCGUUCUCCAGGUUCUUCAAUUCAUAACUCCUGAGUUCUCUAAUUACUUUUAUUUACAUUCAAGUUAUUUAUUGGAUUCCCGCUUGCAUCAAGUGCUCUAGUCUUUAUAACGCUAGAGUAGUCAAUAAUAGAUUAGACGUGGUGUUUAGUCUUGCAAUUACCUGGAAUUGCACCCAAUCCUGCGGAUUGUUGUGGUAGCCUUAGGGUAGUGACAGCCCUAACGGUCGACGUAUUCCACCUCGUUCGGAUCGGUGUUUGUAGGACCGUAGUCAGACCUUCCUAGCCCCCUUCUCAUCUCUUUCUAUGGUUAGUGCUCUGAUGUCCCGAUAUAAAUAAUCUUGAAGUAAUUCUUGAUUCUUAGAUCAACUAGAGAACUCUCAGGAAACUUCCUCUCUUCCCACCAAAAAUACUUAUAUAGUUAUCCUUGGGCGAUCUUGAUUCUUAAUUAGUACACUCACGUUCUCUGUGGAAAAUCGAUACUCUGGAAUACUCCCGGGUGAAAGCUACAUCGGUAUCCGUGCACUUGCGGAUUUUUCUGUUUGCUUUUAAAAUACCCAACAGUAGGUCAAAACCAACCCUUUUCUAUAGCUGAGGUCCUAUCUUUUAAUCAAGAAGAUAAUGCACUUUUAGCUACACCUAGGGAAUCUAUUAAUCUUUCUAUAAAUUCUGGUUUAAACCUAGCCCUACAAGACCAUGUUUUUUCUCGAUACUUUCACAUUGGUCUUAAUUAUAUAACCAUUGGUAGAGUCUCUCUUUCUUUAUCUAUUAGUAAAGGAAGGUAUGUCUUCAUUCGUGGACAUCCUUCUUAUACUAGUCUUCAUAGAAAAAUCUUAGAGAUAGAGAAGGAAUCAUCUCCCAGACGAGGAAAGGCAGUUUCAAUAGCCAAUUUUCAAUCACUUCAAUCCCAUGAUUCGGCUAUCAAACCCAUCCUUGAGCCUAAUAAUUUCUACUACGCUCUUUCUCUUGAACCUCCCGAUAAUCCUAUGAAUCUAUCUAGACAUCCCAUUCAUAAGAAUCACCAAGACUACAAGGAGGAUCGAGAAGAGCAGCAUCAAUGGCUAGAGGGCAUUAAAAAUCCAUGUGCUAUCACCAUUGAAUGGAUAGAUAAAACAAACUUGAGAGACAAUCCUAGAGGAAUUUUAAGCAUUCAUGAAGAAUCAUCCUUGGAGUUUGAGAAUGAGAGAAACAACAGUGAGCAUGGAAGUUAUUUCAUAAAUACCUCAUCAAGUCCUUGCUCAUAUAAAACAUCUCCCCAAUCAAUUGGUCUCUCUAACCUUACCACAUUUGAGAUCUCCAACCCCCUCUUCCUUUCUAUUUAUAAAAACUUUAAAAGAGCGGUUGUCGAUACAUAUGUCUAUAAUAAAUAUUGCAGAUCUCGUUGAGUUAAUUGAUGGUUUCCCAAGGACAAGCUUAGUGUCCUAAAACAAACACUGAUCAGAUCGUAACAUGAACUUCUAAUUAUUUGCAACAUUGCCUUGUGUAUGGAGCAUAUAAAGAUAAUUGUAGAAAUAUUACUUCGGGUAUUCUUGUCACUAACCUUCCCAGGAUUGGAGCAAGAAGAUGGGAUGAAUGACAAGUACAAGGUAUGUCCAACCAACCAUCACACAACAUUGAAUUCAUCCAAACUUGAAUUUUGCAAAAUUCAAGCUUGGGGGAGUAGUUUACAUAAAAACAUCUUUUGCCAUGUUGCUACGUUGGUUGUCCUUACCUUUGAGACAUGCUCAAUUGAUUAAAUACUAAUCACACUACUUCAUCUCCACUUGAGUAGAUCUCUAUAAAUGCCAUCACGCUUCCUUUGUUUAUCCUAGUAAGUGUUAGUUUGGAAGUACUGCACAUACUUCUAUUGGCUUUUGAAUUAAGCAUGGUGCUUAGGUUAAACAGCCUUCCUUAAUCUGAUUAGACAUGGAGUCUAGUUCGGUUAUUGAACUAAAAACUGCUUGUGUAGACAUUGGUAUAUUUUGUUGGACUAACCCCUGCAGAAAAACUUUCAAUAUCAAUUUGGGAAGUCCUGAGAUAUAAACUCAUUGGAGAUAAAGGAGACACAUGAAGUUUAACAAUUUGCACAAGAAGGACAUAGCUCAUUCAUCAUAAAGAGAUGAUCCAUAGAGGGUGCCACAAACACGAUGCACAACCGCUAAGAAAGGAAAGCUUCCACAAGGUGAUACUAUACCAUCACUAAGUAAGGUAACAUCUUAAGGUACUUGACUAUCGCUUUUAUAAGCUUCUCCUUGGUUCUGGCGUUCACAUAAAUAAAGAGACAAACAUGUAUGAUUUAUAACUCUAAAUUAACCAACCUAACUGAUUCAGCAUGUUUAGUCCUUUAAUCUUUGUUCUUAGUACUACCUUCGUGAUCCCACACUCCUAUUCAUAUAAGCUAAUAUGUUGCACAUUCAAUCUUUGGAAGAUAUAAACAAAACAUAAAUAUAGACAGACUAUCUUUCCAUUAGGUUGAGCCAUCUGAUCUGACAAAUGUUUCAAAUACUACACUCAUGAUUUUAUUAUCCAUCAACUUUGUCUUGCUCACUAUGCUUAAGGUUAGAGAAGAACAAAUACACUUUUGGUUCUGUUGGUGUUUUCCACCAAUAGAGCCCAUGCACUUGAUCUCUGCCUUGUCUCUAUGAACAGGUGCACUUCGAGCAAAACCUGAAGGAGUUUUACAACUCCUAGAUUCCAGCAAGUGAAGGACUUGGAUCUACGAGCACAAACACACUGAGCAGGAUAUUGCCAACACCGCACUUCGAACUGCUGGACAAACAAAGAACAAAGGUGACACCAUAUCAAAAGGUGCAGAUGUCAAGGUCCACGCCUAAUCAAAUGAUGCACCUAAAGGAUGAAGACGGUGAGAAGUCUUGUCCAGAACACAUAAAACAUUGGAUCCUUGUCGGAGGAGGUCAAGAUCGUUGACUCAAGUCGCCUUUCCUGAUCAAGAAGGACGACCCUGGUGUUCCAAGCAUCGAGUGCACAAUCAAUGGAUACUCUUUUCAGAAGACACUCUACGACACCGGAUCUGAUGACAACAUAAUGGCUGUAGUCAGUUAUCAGCUCCUGCAUGGAACCAUGCUCCUACAACCAAGAUACAUUCAGCUUCAGAUGAUUUUUAGGUCAUUGACAUGGGAGAAGACGAGUACGAUCCACCCAUCGUCCUUGGAAGACCGUUCCUCAACACUAUCAAAGCAAUCAUCUACAUUGGAACCGGAGAAGUCCACAUACUCUAAGCAGGAUAGGACAAGAAGACGACGCAACCGCAAUUAGAGGAGGUAAAUCAUCAAGAACGGAUGGGUAGACUACGAAGGAGAAGUGAUAAGGACUGAAGACAUACAGCUUGAACAAGAACUGUCCUGAGGAGACCGUAGCACCGAGUCAGGGGUGGAAAGAGAAGAUAGUUAUACACGAAGAAGAGGCGCCGCCGGAAUCACCGACUACGCCACCUAGCGAAUCCUAGGACGACUGAAAACACAAGGAGUCCCGUUCGGAGGACUUAAAAACACCGAACGCCUUGCCAAGAGGUAAACUUGGUAGUUAUCCUUUUCCUUUCAAUUAUUCAAUUAUAGUUUACUUAGUUAAACAGGUUCAUAUCAUCUCAAAAAGAAAAUAAAAAUGCUAAAAAUAGUAAGCCCCAUGUGAGUAUACUCAUGGCAUAAAACCCAUAGGUACAUUCACUAUGGUGGCAUAAAAAUAAAAUAAAUAAGUUUUCAUCUUACAAUAAAAAUAUAAAAACAAUAAGUGCAUGAUCCUGCUAAAUAAGUAACAUUUAUUGAGGAGGCUCAACAUGAUAAAGGCUAGAUAUUUAUGCUAACACUUAACCAGUUCCACAAAGCUUUGUUGUCUAUUUGAGCUCCACAGAAUUCAAGGAUCAAAAAAGACUAGCAGACGGAGGACAUCCUAAUCGUUCUCAGGGUGCUGCCAACAUUCAAACACACCUCCGUCACUUGCUAGCUACAUCAGAUGAAAUUACGUCAAAAUCUAGCUUGGGGGAGAGCACCCCCAUUUAUCCAGCUAAGAGUUUCUACUCGUGUUUAUACUUUACUCAAAUAAUAAAAGAUGCAUAAUCAUGAAAACCCAAAUAAAUAUUUUGUGCUUCUAUAUAUAUAUCUUUGCUUAGUUUGCUAAAUAUAUAAAUAAAUAAAGUUUGCUAUGAACCCUCAUGAUAAUCUCUCACAUGGAAAUGAUGAAUAGUUGCUCUGCCAUAACUAGUUCUCAAAAUUGAAAUCUCUCUCAAGUUUAGGCAUGACUGUUAUGAAUUAAGAUUUGCUCUAAACCUGAACUUGUGGGAAGAGUACUUGAUCUAAAAUCGAAGUCGUUAACGGAUACGAUAUGGGAAGGUUGAGCUGCUAUUUAUCUGUUCCUAGAGAUGCUAGAAUUCUGGAGAAUUUUAUAUUUAAAAAUCUUUAAAAUAACACAUGAUGAGUUCCUCUAUGAUGAGAGUUUAAAUUCCUACCACAGCCAUAUAUACAUGCUUAUUAGACUUUGAGCCACACAUUUACUUACUGCUUAUGAGCAUUGAGUGUGGUCAAGCUGUGUAGACCCUUAGGAGCUUGUCAUGUGGUUAAAAUCAAGAUUCACUUGCACGUUCACUCAUACAUGCUACUUCUACUCCAGAAGUACCAUCCACAUAUAUCCACUCAUUUCCAUCACCAGAACCACCCAAAAACAUUCUACUCCUAAUCCAGGAAAGAAUGGCCAGAAAUAUUUCUGUUUUUCCCUGUGGAAUAAAUGCUCGAGUUAUUUUGGUUACUAUCACUUGCUACAUUCUUUCAGGAGAUGAGUGCUCUAAAAAAAAGAGAAAAAAAUAUAUAAUACGAGGAAAUAAAAAGGGGCAAGUGCCCGGAACCUCGAAGAAAAGAAAAAGUGAGACGAGAGGUAAAAAUGGACAAGUGUCUGACAGUAGAAUUAGGGGUACAAGAUACCCACCUCAGAGGAAAGAAAAAGAAAAUAUAGAGCAUCUCAUUCUCCCCAAUAAGCUUCAAAGUGAAAGAAAGGUAUGUAUCCCCUAAAAAGAGCAAAAGUAGAAUUAGACUUUCACCAUUGUUAUCACCAUCAUCACCAUACACCAUUCACUCGCCACACAUGCACAUCUUGAUUUGACUUAUUGACUUGUUCUUCUGGAUCCAUGGUUUGACUAUGCAAUAAAUGUCUUGUAAGUAUGUAUUAGCUGUCUCCCACCUAUGAGCUCCAGAUAUCAAAUCUUACUAGAGUAGGGUGAGAGAGAAGGCAAUAUCACUAUGCCUCAUACCAAAAAUACCACAUACUUUAAGAGAAGACAUAUACCAUUACUGCCUUGGAAAGGAUCCAGAAAUACCGCAAAAGAGAGACUAGAGAGUGUCAUACAAGGAAUCUCUAAGUUUUAUUCAAAAAUCUGCAAAAACUCUAGAGCUAUAGCUGAUUAAGAAUAAGAGACAUGGUGCUUGACUUGACCGUUCUAUAUUUUAACUGCUCAAGACACAAGUGACGGUUACAAGCCCCAUGGUGAAAGGUAAAAUGAGUAAGUUUUAAGUCUUAACAGUUUAUUCUAACUCAGAGA
rnacentral:lncRNA from 1 species